AGAGUUUGAUCCUGGCUCAGGACGAACGCUUGCGGCGUGCCUGAGAAAUGCAAGUCGAGCGGGGGGUAGCAAUAUCCCUAGCGGCGAACGGUCGAGUAACACGUAAGCAACCUGCCCGGCGGUGGGGGAUAACAGCGGGAAACUGCUGCUAAUACCGCAUACGCAUGAGGGGUGGCAUCACCCAUCAUGUAAAGGCUUUGACUGCUGUCGGAGGGGCUUGCGGCCUAUUAGCUUGUUGGUGGGGUAACGGCCUACCAAGGCGACGAUGGGUAGCUGGUCUGAGAGGAUGGUCAGCCGGAUCGGGACUGAGACACGGCCCGGACUCCUACGGGGGGCAGCAAUCAGGAAUAUUGCGCAAUGGGGGAAACCCUGACGCAGCGACGCCGCGUGCGGGACGAAGGCCUUCGGGUCGUAAACCGCUGUUGUGGGAGACGAAGGGUGGCUGAUGAGGCCAACGAGACGGUAUCCCACGAGGAAGCCCCGGCUAACUACGUGCCAGCAGCCGCGGUAAUACGUAGGGGGCGAGCGUUGUCCGAAGUUACUGGGCGUAAAGCGCGCGUAGGCGGCUUCUUAAGUGGCCGGUGAAAUCCCCGGGCUCAACUCGGGAGGGUCUGGUCAUACUGGGAGGCUAGAGUGUGGGAGAGGAGAGCGGAACUCCAGGUGUAGCGGUGAUAUGCGUAGAUAUCUGGAAGAACACCCGUGGCGAAGGCGGCUCUCUGGACCACAACUGACGCUGAGGUGCGAAAGCCAGGGGAGCGAACGGGAUUAGAUACCCCGGUAGUCCUGGCCCUAAACGAUGGAUACUAGGUGUGGGGGGUAUCGACCCCUCCCGCGCCGCAGCUAACGCAAUAAGUAUCCCGCCUGGGGAGUACGGCCGCAAGGUUGAAACUCAAAGGAAUUGACGGGGGCCCGCACAAGCGGUGGAGCAUGUGGUUUAAUUCGAUGCUACGCGAAGAACCUUACCAGGGCUUGACAUCGUCGGACCGGCCUGGAAACAGGUCUUCUCCCGCGAGGGAGCCGGCAGACAGGUGCUGCAUGGCUGUCGUCAGCUCGUGUCGUGAGAUGUUGGGUUAAGUCCCGCAACGAGCGCAACCCCCAUCCUGUGUUGCCAGCGAGUAAAGUCGGGAACUCACAGGAAACUGCCCCUGUGAGGGGGAGGAAGGUGGGGAUGACGUCAAGUCAGCAUGGCCCUUACGUCCUGGGCGACACACAUGCUACAAUGGAUGCGACAAAGGGAAGCGAGGCGGCGACGCGGAGCGGAUCCCAAAAAGGCAUCCCCAGUUCGGACUGCAGUCUGCAAUUCGACUGCACGAAGGCGGAAUCGCUAGUAACCGCAGGUCAGCAGUACUGCGGUGAAUACGUUCCCGGGCCUUGUACACACCGCCCGUCACACCACCUGAGUCUGCUGCACCCGAAGUCCGUGGCCUAACCGCAAGGAAGGGGCGGCCGAAGGUGUGGCCGGUAAGGGGGGUGAAGUCGUAACAAGGUA
rnacentral:rRNA from 1 species